CAAACAGGAUUAGAUACCCUGGUAGUCCACGCUGUAAACGAUGUCGAUUUGGAGUUUGUUGCCUAGAGUGAUGGGCUCCGAAGCUAACGCGAUAAAUCGACCGCCUGGGGAGUACGGCCGCAAGGUUAAAACUCAAAUGAAUUGACGGGGGCCCGCACAAGCGGUGGAGCAUGUGGUUUAAUUCGAUGCAACGCGAAGAACCUUACCUGGUCUUGACAUCCAUAGAAUUCUGCAGAGAUGUGGGAGUGCCUUCGGGAACUAUGAGACAGGUGCUGCAUGGCUGUCGUCAGCUCGUGUUGUGAAAUGUUGGGUUAAGUCCCGCAACGAGCGCAACCCUUAUUCUUUGUUGCCAGCGAUUUGGUCGGGAACUCAAAGGAGACUGCCGUUGAUAAAGCGGAGGAAGGUGGGGACGACGUCAAGUCAUCAUGGCCCUUACGACCAGGGCUACACACGUGCUACAAUGGCGUAUACAAAGGGAAGCGAAGGUGCGAGCUGGAGCGGAUCUCAUAAAGUACGUCUAAGUUCGGAUUGGAGUCUGCAACUCGACUCCAUGAAGUCGGAAUCGCUAGUAAUCGUAGAUCAGAAUGCUACGGUGAAUACGUUCCCGGGCCUUGUACACACCGCCCGUCACACCAUGGGAGUGGGUUGCACCAGAAGUAGAUAGCUUAACCGCGAGGGGGGCGUUUACCACGGUGUGAUUCAUGACUGGGGUGAAGUCGUAACAAGGUAACCA
rnacentral:rRNA from 1 species